UGUGCUACCGUGAGGCAGAGGAGAGAAAAAAGACCAUUAAUCUGACCGCGCAAUGACUGACAGCACUCAACAUCUGAUGUGAAGGAUGAACAUGACGUCCAAAAGACAUCACGAAUGAUAAGCGAGCAGGAGGGAAAAACAUGCAAAACCCAAGGAAACUCGUGCUUCACUUGAAGGCCUGGAUGAAGAACAGUUUGGGUUUUCCUUGCAAAGACGGGCAGUGCUGGCCGUUGAGGGAGGUUGUGAUGUUCUGAACUGGGACAUGCAGUCCGUCCACACCAUAGACGGCUCCCGGGAAGCGGCUGUGAUUCACCUGCAAGCAUAAACUUGAGCAUAUGCUUCUUUGCCAUAUGGAUUUGUAUUUGAAUAGGUCUGGGAGAAAAAAUUAGGUAGGAAAGCCUUAUUUAAAACAUGCAAGUAAUCUGAGGGUGAUGUAACAGCCUUUAAUGAGAUUUGCUUAUGGGUCAAUGACGUGACACCUAUAUUUUCCGAAAAACAGAUUUUUUUUCAAUUCAAAAAAGGUUUAAAUGGAUACAAAAAUACCAUAUAUAUGACCUACCUGUCCCACAUAUGGACUCACUUGAAUUUUACAAAAAAAAACUAGUUAUUUGGGAUUUUGUUGUUUUAAGCGCCAAAAUGUCAUGUGGUGCGAUCGUCCGACCAUGACUCUUGUUUUGAAAACUUUUUUGAAAUCACUCUAAAUGUUUUUAAAUCAAUCUUCUGCCCACCUGGCAUGAUUUCCAAAAUAUCUUGUAGUGUAUAAGAUUUAUACACAUUUAUAUUUAUAUUUCCAUCAUAAUAUACAAACAAAGUUUGACCGAUUUCCAUUUUAUGAAAUAUCAUGUGACGCGACUAUUAAAAUAACAUUUUAAUACUGAGAACUUGUUAAAAAAAAGAUGCAACAUGUUAAAGAAAUUAAUUUAUUUUAAUAUGAAUCAUGGUUGCACCACAUGACUUUUUUUUAAGGCUAGUGCCAAUUCAUCUUGACAAAAAUCACUUAAUUUAAAAGUUUUAUAAGAAUUUAUGUGUACACAACAUUCUUAAUGUUUGAACUACUGCAAUAGAUUUUUAUUAUUUUAAAAUUGACCUGUUGAAAAUCCUUAUUCGUCAUUGACCCUUAUGUGUUACAAUGAAAUAGAGUGAAAUGAAAGGAAGGCCAUACCUCAGUCCCAUGGGAGAGCAUUAUAACCACGCAGCAGUCAUACAGGGAAUGGUCUUUCUUAGACAAGGCUGAUAGGUUCUGUUUGAUUUGCUGAAACAUGAACAUAACUGUCAGCGCCACAAACUUUCAGUCGGUUUCAGACACAAAAGAGAAAAGAAACUAUUCUUACUUUCUGUUUCAGGUUUGUUUUGACUUCUACAAUAAA